UUAGGGCAGAUCUGUGCCCAGUGAG
rnacentral:misc_RNA from 1 species